rnacentral:lncRNA from 1 species
UAACUAAAAGAGAUUAAGAAAUAAUAAGAAUUACAAACCGAUUUGUACAAAUUCCUACAAAUUACACAUACUAAGAGGGAGAGAUAGAUUAAUGUCAAACGUGACAAGGUCCAAUUAAAACAGUAAUUAAAACACAUUCCCAAGGUUCAAACAAUUUGAUUUUAGCGCCUUAUCUCAUAGCUCAAUUAUCGUUUAAGGCAUAAGUCCAUAGUCACCCAUUUUUCUAACUACUUAAUCACAUUAAAUAAUCAAAUGGAAUGCAACAUAAACAAUUAGAUUUAGUGCAUAUGGGCAUAAUAGUAUUAUGAGUUUAAACAACUAACAAAAUUAAAAUCAAAUAUUUUAACUUUCUAGUUAGUAGGGGCCUAAAUGCAAAUAUGAAAACGUUAGGGGUCAAACCGUAAAUACUCAAAAGUAUAAAAUAUCUUUUUCCAAAUUACAAAAAACCCCACAAGUGGAUAAAUCCACUAGGGUGGCCGGCCACAUUAAGGGGAGAUGGGAAGUCUCACCCAUCUUGCUUUAAUUCAAUGCAAGGUAGAAAAAACCAAAUUUGCUUGUCACUUGGUUUUGUCAUUAAAACUUAGGUGAAAAGGGUGAUGGAAAUUUCCUAGUCAAGUCUAGGAUUUAAAAAAAUUUGGGAAGGCUAUGGAUGAUAAGUAUAUCAUCCAAAACCAUAAAACAAUUUAUUAAAACCAAAUAAAACCAUUUUCACCCAAAAACAAACCAUGAACACCAAGAACAAAACCAUGAACACUUUUUCAAGAUUUGUGUAUUCUUGGUGAUUUUUCAAACCCAAAAACUAAAGUGACAAGGGCUCUACAUUCUAGCUUUAAAAUGAUGUGUGAGUGUCUUACAAUAAAACACAAACACAUGCCCAAAAAACCCCCUUAAUGCCGUGCCUACCACAAGGGACAAAACCCCAAAUUUUGUUCAAAACUUACUCUUCAUUCAUGCAUCCAAAACACCUUUUACAUGCAUAUCUUUUUCAACUCUUGAUUUAUAUUUUUCAACCAUUGAAAAACAAAAGAUAAACAUACUUUAAAUGAAGAAAUAAUAUGUCAAACUAGUUCAAAACUCAAUUUUCAUUCAUGCAUACAAAACAUCUUUUGCAUACAUAUCCUUCUCAACUAUUGACUAACAUUUUUCAACUAUUGAAAAACAAAAGAUAAACAUAUUUUGAAUGAAGCAAUAAUUAUGUCAUACAUAAUAUUAAUACCCAUAUGCAUAAAAUCCAAAAGGACACAUUAUACAUAAACCUUUGGCUCUGAUACCAAUUGAAGGGAAAUCUUAGAGAUUAAUAUGGGAUUUCGAAAUGACUAGCAUGCAUAUACAAUUCAAAAUUAAUAUACAUAAGCAACAGAAGCAUGUUAUCAAAUAAUAUCAAAGUUAUAGUCAUGCAAAUCCCUUUCAAGGUUCAUAGGUUUAUAUAUAAUGCAUCUAAAGCAUUUAAGUUAAGAACAAAGUGAAGGAAUAGAUCUAUACCUCUUGAUCUAGAUUUUAGACCAAGGAUGGACCACCUCCAAGCCCUUUGCUCCUUGAACUCCUUGAGCCUAGCCUCCCUCCUUGCCUCCUCCACUUUGUUGGUAAGAGUGCUCCUAGGUUCUCCUU